AACGAACGCUGGCGGCAUGCCUAACACAUGCAAGUCGAACGAGACCUUCGGGUCUAGUGGCGCACGGGUGCGUAACGCGUGGGAACCUGCCCUUAGGUUCGGAAUAACUCCCCGACAGGGGUGCUAAUACCGGAUAAUGUCCUCGGACCAAAGAUUCAUCGCCUUUGGAUGGGCCCGCGUUGGAUUAGCUAGUUGGUAGGGUAAAAGCCUACCAAGGCGACGAUACAUAGCUGGUCUGAGAGGAUGAUCAGCCACACUGGGACUGAGACACGGCCCAGACUCCUACGGGAGGCAGCAGUGGGGAAUAUUGGACAAUGGGCGAAAGCCUGAUCCAGCAAUGCCGCGUGAGUGAUGAAGGCCUUAGGGUUGUAAAGCUCUUUUACCCGGGAUGAUAAUGACAGUACCGGGAGAAUAAGCACCGGCUAACUCCGUG
rnacentral:rRNA from 1 species